UAGCAAGACGGCGUGCCGGAGUGAUUAAGAUGGACUAUUCAGAACAGGUGCGGGACCGUAGAGUUUGGAGCAGGACCGACGAGAUACCCUUUUCCCACAUUAAGUUGUGUUUCGCCAUCAUUUUACUUUACUUUAAAUGUACUUUAAAUGUACACAAAUAAACUGGCAAUGGAGCACCGACGCUAACCAGUGUCGGACUCGGACCACAGACAUCGAUCUGACCGAGUAUCGGAGCAGUGCCGGCGGGGGCAGCGAGGCGACAGACACAUCCAGGUCGGUUUCUGAGGGUCGACAGUUCACCUCGCCCACCUCAAGUUCAACUCUGGAGACUUUCAUUUCGGAUCUGAGGUUUAAAAAUACCCUCUAGUUCAGUUCCAGAGAGUGGCUCUGGUCCAUUGCAGUCUGGCCUUCUUCCAAUCCAGCCGUGAUUGCGUUUUAGGACUUCUGCUCCGGUGUGGCAGCAGGCGUGGCCAGACUCUCCGGCUUCACAAUCUGAUGACGUACUCUGCAUACGCCAGUCCGUUGACACUGGGUCGACCUAUAACCGAGUGGUGUCCAGGGGGGGCGUGGGCCAUUUUCAUCGCACUAAACUGAAGAAACGACUUUCCCAGCGUCACUCUGCAGAACAGCAUCUGCCUGAAAUGCAAACCCACAGAAUGAUGCCGUGAAGACUGGAACUCCUUGUCGUCCGGUGCCAGGUCGAUCAGCACGGUGCCCUGGCUGGAGCAGUGGAACGUCAGAUAUGGGUUUGCACCUACAAUCAAAAAACAAAUGACACUAAAUUUCUUAUCAUACAUUACAGGUAUAGCCACAUAUAUAACCCAGGAGUUUGAUGUAUAGAUGAUGUAAAGUAAGCAUUUUGAGUGUUUCUCAACAAAUCUGAAGACUAAAUAACAGAACUUGGCGUUAUAAAGAGAACAUGCUUGAUUGUUUUAACAUUUCCAGUGUUUAUUUGAAGAUUAAAUAUUUAUGUCAUUUCAAUACAGUAAAUCUGAUAUAGGAACAGGUGUGUGUUUGUGUGUGUAGUUUUGUGUGUGCGUGUGUGGUUUUGUGUGUGUGUUUUGUUUGUUUCCUGACCUUGCUGGCCUCCCAGCAGCCGUUCGAUGCCCUUGAUGAGUUUGUGUCUGUGGCCGUAAGCGUUGAUGCCGAUCUCUUUCAGCUCCUCGUGACCCAUGUCUGCCAGCACAUCCAGCGAAAUCUGCCCGGAAAACAGCAAAUGAGUCAUUGGAGCAGAGACAGUCUACAGCGAUGCUACAGCUCUGCAAGGCUGUACUUAGGCACAGUGGUGCUCUGAGCUAAAUGCUAACGCUAACAUCCUCACCACAAUGCUAACAUGCUGAAUCUAAGCAGGCAAGAUAUUUACCAUGAUCACCAUCUUAUUUUAACAUUUGCGAAUUAGCAUUAAACACAAAUUACAGUUGAGGCUGAUAGCUUUGCAAGUAUGUAGCCAUAAACCUAGCUAUAAUAAGCAAUACAAAUGUUGGAUAGAUUAAAAUGCUGAUGACCCAAGAUAAAAAGUUGAGGGAUUAGCGAAGUAAUUACAUCCUGAGGGGAACAUGGAUGUCUGAACCAAAUUGUAUGGCAAUCCAUCUGUUGUUGAGAUAAUUCAGUCUUGACCAAACACUGUCAUCCCUUGAGCCAUGCCGCUAGAAUGGUUAUGAACUGACAUGAGGAAUGUAAAAUGGAACAAAAAUGAACAAAAGAAAACUGAUUAAAUAAAUGAGUUCAAACCAAGACUGAAUUAACCCUGUAAGAAAAAUAUUUCCUGGUCUUUCCACCUUUCAUCCUCAUCUCUUAUAUCUAUGUGCCUCUCCAGUUCUUUGCACCUUUUGCUGUUCCCUUUCACUAUUGCCUUUCCCAGACACAUAAAGGAAUGUGCGUGUACCUGUUCCCGCUGGAAGGUGUCUCGGAGGUGUUCCAGCCCUAGGCUCUUCAAAAACUGGUUGAUGGUCAUGUCGAGCAGAGCUGCAGAGACACAGAGAGACCCAGAUGCUCCGUCUGCUGGUCCAGUGGCCCCGCCCACAGAGAUGUCACUGAGGGGCGCAGUCAGGUUGUCUAUGCUGCUGGCUGCAGACAGGCAGGAUGGGGAUGGAG